GAUGAUGGAUGGAUGGGAAAAAUCUUACACCCUAAGAGCAGGCAAAAUCUAAAUUGGAGAAAAAGACAAGGUCUCCCAGAGCAAAUUUGAGGAGACCAUGGAAUGAAGAAGAAAAGGCUGCUGUGGAAAAACACCUGGGGAGACUUAUAAAAGGGUGUCAAGCAAGAACAAUGCACUGACUGCAAAAUGAAAGAGCCGCAGGCCUUGGCUCAAAGAACCUGUAAAGACGUAAAGAACUUCAAGAAAAGAUCUGCUUCUCGAGUUCUUCAUUUUUAAAUUUAAAUUUUCUUGCUGGAGUAUUUUUUUUUUCAAUUCUUUUCUACUCUUCCUGAGCAGUGUUGUUAAAAAUGUUCUACUUGAGGUGAGAUUUAAUGUUGACAUGUACUUAUAAAGUUUUACAAUAUAUUUGAUUUAGUUCCGUAAAUUAAUUGGCCAAAGCAUGGGUCACUUUUAUUGUAGUAGUAAUUGUACAGCAAUCAAUCGGUUCAAGUUGUGAUUGAUAUAUAAUGUAUAAAUGAGGAACUCUGCUUAUCUUAAGUUGAAACUAUCAAAUUAUUCAUAAAACAGACUACUCACACUUUUUAAAAUUAAAAUACAAAAUGUCUGCUGUGUAAUUGCAGGUUAAUAAGAGAGGAAAAACUCUGAAGGCCAUACCAAAAGUUGAUUUGUAUGCUUAACUGCAACAAAACCAAAAAAGAAGAUAUUUUAACCAAAUCCUCACUCCUGCUAUGAUUUCAGUUUCAAGUCUACUUUUUAUUGCUCUGUUUUUUAAAGAAGUUGAAGUGGGGAAAGUAGUUGGGGUGACAUCUAGUGUACAAAUCUAAGACUAGUUCCUCUCUAAACCUAUCAGAAAGGGUGGUCCUCACUCCCUAUCUGGAGUUACCCGGACCUCACAAAUAUAGUCUUACAGGAACGUGUGUGUGUGUGUG